rnacentral:rRNA from 1 species
UUGUCUCAAAGAUUAAGCCAUGCAUGUCUCAGUACAAGCCGAAUUAAGGUGAAACCGCGAAAGGCUCAUUAAAUCAGUUAUGGUUCCUUAGAUCGUACCCACAUUUACUUGGAUAACUGUGGUAAUUCUAGAGCUAAUACAUGCAAACAGAGCUCCAACCGGAAACGGAAGGAGCGCUUUUAUUAGAUCAAAACCAAUCGGUGGCGGUUCAUCCGUCAUCGUACAACUUGGUGACUCUGAAUAACUUUAAGCUGAUCGCACGGUCUCGCACCGGCGACGCAUCUUUCAAAUGUCUGCCUUAUCAACUGUCGAUGGUAGGUUCUGCGCCUACCAUGGUUGUAACGGGUAACGGGGAAUCAGGGUUCGAUUCCGGAGAGGGAGCCUGAGAAACGGCUACCACAUCCAAGGAAGGCAGCAGGCGCGCAAAUUACCCACUCCCGGCACGGGGAGGUAGUGACGAAAAAUAACGAUACGGGACUCAUCCGAGGCCCCGUAAUCGGAAUGAGUACACUCUAAACCCUUUAACGAGGAUCAAUUGGAGGG